AAACGACUCUCGGCAACGGAUAUCUCGGCUCUUGCAUCGAUGAAGAACGUAGCGAAAUGCGAUACUUGGUGUGAAUUGCAGAAUCCCGUGAACCAUCGAGUCUUUGAACGCAAGUUGCGCCCAAAGCCAUUAGGUUGAGGGCACGCCUGCCUGGGUGUCACAC
rnacentral:rRNA from 1 species